rnacentral:tRNA from 1 species
GAUAAGCUCAAUGGUAGAGCAUUUGCUUAGCAAGUCGGAGGUCCUGGGUUCGAUCCCCAGCAUCA